rnacentral:rRNA from 1 species
AACGAACGCUGGCGGCAGGCUUAACACAUGCAAGUCGAACGCACCCUUCGGGGUGAGUGGCAGACGGGUGAGUAACGCGUGGGAACGUACCCUUCGGUUCGGAAUAACCCAGGGAAACCUGGGCUAAUACCGGAUGCGCCCGCCCUUGGGCGGGGAAAGGUUGACUGCCGAAGGAUCGGCCCGCGUCGGAUUAGCUAGACGGUGGGGUAACGGCCCACCGUGGCGACGAUCCGUAGCUGGUCUGAGAGGAUGAUCAGCCACACUGGGACUGAGACACGGCCCAGACUCCUACGGGAGGCAGCAGUGGGGAAUAUUGGUCAAUGGGCGCAAGCCUGAACCAGCCAUGCCGCGUGAGUGAAGAAGGCCUUAGGGUUGUAAAGCUCUUUCAGCGGGGACGAUAAUGACGGUACCCGCAGAAGAAGCCCCGGCUAACUUCGUGCCAGCCGCCGCCGUAACAC